rnacentral:rRNA from 1 species
AGAGUUUGAUCCUGGCUCAGGAUAAACGCUGGCGGCGUGCCUAACACAUGCAAGUCGAACGCCCUCUGGCAACAGAGGGAGUGGCGGACGGGUGAGUAACACGUGGGUACCUACCCCAAGGUGAGGAAUACCGGCGAGAAAUCGCCGACAAUACCGCAUAGGCUUCGAAAGAAGCAAAGCUCGCAAGGGCGCCAUGGGAA